GCCAACAUCGCUUUGGACCAGACAUUACACCUGUCGACUAACGUGGACAAGAAUGAUUGAGACUGGUCAGUGAUGAGAACGUCACGAGAACCCGACACUAUCGAGCCAGGCGUGACGAUCGAUAGGUUUCGAGCAACAACUUCAAAAUUUCUUCUGUUUUGUCGAAAUAGUGGCAAUUAUUUUCCUCUACUAC